AUUGAACGCUGGCGGCAGGCCUAACACAUGCAAGUCGAACGAGUGGCGGACGGGUGAGUAAUGUCUGGGAAACUGCCUGAUGGAGGGGGAUAACUACUGGAAACGGUAGCUAAUACCGCAUACCAUCGGAUGUGCCCAGCUGGGAUUGGCUAGUAGGUGGGGUAAAGGCUCAACUAGGCGACGAGCCCUAGCUGGUCUGAGAGGACAACCAGCCACACUGGAACUGGGACACGGUCCAGACUCCUACGGGAGGCAGCAGUGGGGAAUAUUGCACAAUGGGCGCAAGCCUGAUGCAGCCAUGCCGCGUGUAUGAAGAAGGCCUUCGGUUUGUAAAGUACUUUCAGCGGGGAGGCGUUACCCGCAGAAGAAGCACCGGCUAACUCCGUGCCAGCAGCCGCGGUAAUAC
rnacentral:rRNA from 1 species